GAGGGUAUAGCUCAGUGGUAGAGCGCAUGCCUAGCAAGCACGAGGUCCUGGGUUCAAUCCCCAGUGCCUCCA
rnacentral:tRNA from 1 species